CACCUUUCAGGGUCACACCUGGAGAGUUUCCAGUACUCUACCAGUCUUGACUACAGGGGGGAGAGUCAAGCAGAGGCAUAUCCAUUCCAUUCCUAACUUGGGCAAUGGUAGAAAGUGGAAAGCAAUCUGCUACAAGU